GCCCUCGCGCUCGGAGUUUGCACGUUAAAACAGUGCCAAAAGUCGUCGACCAAUCAGAAUGUGUUUUCGGCCUCGACCAAUGAGCUCCAACUUCCCGUUGUAAAGAGAGUAAUGGACAAUCAACAACCUCAGGCCUUACUAAGACAAAGCUUUGGAGGGGUAGCAGCAUAAAUAGCAAAUUGAAAGGCUGUUGGUUGAUGUGUGGACAGCUGUGACCUCCACAUUUUAUGAUAUCCUGCACAAUCUUGAACAAGAUGGGAUG